rnacentral:rRNA from 1 species
AUGGCGACUUCCAUGGUGACGGACUUCGGCGACGGCCACUGCAUCGUGGCGUUCGACCAGGACCACGUCCACACCACCCUGACCUCCUCCGGCGGCGUCGUCGACGAGUGGCUGGACCUCAUCUACCGCAUCCACCGCCGCCGCCUCGAGCGCCUCGUCGUCGGCCUCGACGUCGAGUGGCGCCCCUCGUUCCGCGGCCUCCCGCCGGGCCCCGUCGCGCUGCUGCAGCUGUGCGUCGGCCGCCGCUGCCUCGUCUUCCAGAUCCUCCGCGCCGACUACGUCCCGGACUCCCUCUUCGACUUCCUCGCCGACGGCCGCUUCACCUUCGUCGGCGUCGGGGUCUACGGCGACGCGCAGAAGCUCAGCGCUCACUACGGGCUGGCGGUGACGAACACGGUGGACCUGCGCUACCUCGCCGCGAACACGCUGGGGAAGCCGGCGCUGCGGCACACCGGGCUGCAGGGCCUCGUGUGGCAGGUGAUGGGCGUGUGGCCCGAGAAGCCGCACCACGUGCGGGUCAGCGCCUGGGACGCGCCGCGGCUGACGCGGGAUCAACUGCAGUAUGCUUGCGCCGACGCCUUUGCAUCGUUCGAGGUUGGCCGGAGGCUGUACGACGGCGACUAUUAG